rnacentral:lncRNA from 1 species
UAGUGGUUAUAAUAUUUAUUGCAUUUUAUAACAAAUAAUAACAAAUUUAAUAUUAUAUUCAGAUCUGCUUAGGCAUAAAUUAUAGUGUAUACACACACUAACUCACACAAAUAUAGUGUACACAUAAAGCACAUGUAAAUAUAUAGCUAGACUAUGAACACUGGUAGACAAUAUAGCCAUCAUUUAUACAUAACAAAUUACGCAUUAUACAUUUAAUCAUUCUGUCUAAAAUUCAAUAUAUUCUUGUUUAUUUGUAGAAGUAUACAAUAAAAAUUUUACCUGAUGGUUUAAGUAAAGCAUUACUUUUAUAAUGCACUGUUAAUUUUAAUUUUAUUAUCACGUUGAAUUUGAACUUUUUUUCUCAUUUAUAUUCACCCAUAUGAAAAGUGUCCAUAAAUUAAAGUAACGCAACAUAAAUUUAAGAACUCUAUAUAUAUAUGUAUAUAUAGAGUCUAUAAGAAUCUACCAACCAGAUUCUAUAUAUAUAUAUAUAUGACAUUGUUUCUUUAUAAGAAUAUAUUUUACCCUAUCUAAAUUACCGCAAAUCCACAUCUUUUCACAUCUCAGCAUACAUCAUCUAUACCAAUAGCAUACUUUAAACAAAAAUGGGGGUUAAUACAUCAAAAUUAGCAUAUUUGAUUUAGAUUAAUUUAAUAUUAACUAGUGUCAAAAACAACAUGUGCAUGAGUUGAUCAGCAUAUAACUAAUCUAAGAAAGAAAAAAAAAUGACACUAGUGUGAAUAAAUGCAUAUCUUUAAUAAGACUUUGCAGACUUGAAAUAUUGAAAAAAAAAUCAUCUAUACAAUUACUACUUUGUUGGUGUUUUUAAAGACUUUUGAGAAAAUUAUAAAAAAAACAUGCAUUAAACACUUUUUGAGCUAAAAUCUUUCAAUUAAGACACACAGCACAUACUAAAGUACUUAUAUCUAUGUUAAGAAAUUUUUGAAAUCAAAAUAAUAAGUCAAAUUGCUUUAAUAUUUAUCUUCCUAAUUUUGUUACCUAUCAAGGUACUAUAAAUGUACUGUAGCCACUGCACUAUUGUAGUUGUGUUAGUAGAUGAACAAACAUUUACAUGUAGUUAUAUUGAAUAAAACCCUUUUUUAAAUAUAUACCAAAAGAAUUGCAUACUAAUCCUAAAAAAUAUUUAUUGUCAGAACUAAGUAUAUCUUGCUAUAUAUCAAAUUUAAUACUUAAAUACUUUGUUAUAUUUUAAUAAACAUAUUUUCUUGUCAUAUUUAAACUUUCACAUUGUAUGAUCAAAAGAAAAUUAUCAAUAGGAGUCUAGAUCUUACACAAUGAAACCAUUCAAUUACCAUAACAGGCACUAGGAUAUUCAAUCAAGAUUACUUGGUCAAAAUCUUUGUAUGCAACUCUUAUUGACUAUUUUUUGAACACUUGCAGCUAUAUUGCAUGUCAGAGAUACCUGAAUAGGAAUAUUUGAAUUCAAAAACGUAUUGAUAUGAACAAUGAUGACUUUUAUUGCCAUCUUACAACCAUUCAUCAAAAUCUGAUUCUUUUAAUAAAUUAUAUUUUGAAUGAUAUAGUAUUUUAAAGUGAUGGCUGCAUGAUGAUUUAUUAUUGUAAACCAGAAUUCUUUUAAUGAUUUAUUAUUCAGCUAAUAACAUAUUUUAAUAACUAAUUGCCACACUCAUUCCCAUGUCAUUUUUCUUAAAAUGGGCACCUUAGGUACCAUGGGAAAUCUUGGAUAAAGGUGAUUUCAAAAGAGUGAACCUUAAAAGUUAUUAAAGCAUAAAAAUAGGAAAAAUCUAUGAUUUGUAACCUUUCUAGUUGUGAUAUUGGCACAGCAAACAAAAUGAUUUUUAAAUUUACAUGUGUGCGUAUGAAAAAUUAACAUUUAUAUGUAUGAAAAGCAAAAUCAAUACAAGAUGAAAUUUUUACAAAAAGACAAGAUAAAUCAAUUCCAUUAAAUCAAGAUAAUGCCUCAUAAUUUCAAACUAUUAUUUACAUAAAAAGAAAUUAAUGCAUAUUAUAAUCAUAUCCUGAUUCUAAGUAAAUUGUGUGCAUAAACUGAAAUAAAAAAGGGGGGAUUACUAUCACAGAAUAGCUUAUGUAAACAAAAUAACAUCAAACCGGUUUGGUCGGUAACAUAUUAUGCAUAGAAUUGACAACAAAAAAGGCAACCAGAGGAAGUUUUUACAUCUGUAUAUAAGGCUAUAAAUGUCAUUGAAGAAGUUUGUUUAAUCCAAGAAUUUUAAUCAUAGCUAACUUAGAUAUUUGUUUAAAUGUAACUUGCUUCAAAAGUAACAUAUAACUGGGAAUAUAAAUAUUGGCAUUAUCUAUCAUCUCUUGUGACAUUCAAUUAAUAAGGCAAUGAAUCAAUCUAAUGUAUCCAAACCACACACAAAACAGGAAAUAGAAUAUUGCAAUAAACAUAUAGGUAUAUAUAUAAUUAUGGUAUAUAUUAUUUUAGUUGUUAACACAAACCUAUGGGGUUUAGAUUUUAAUCUUGUCCAUAAUUACUUCCUUUAUAUUCAUACCCUUCCAUUAAGUUUCACAAAAAAAACUUGUUGUUUCUUACACAUUCUUUAAACUGUAUGUUAAUUAAUUUUCUCAAUGAAGUAUCACUAACAUGAAAACCCACUAAUAUCUUAACCGAAUGAAUAAAAUGUUAUUAGAAAGUAUUCAGCUAGUAAAAAAAAGGUAUAUUACUCAAG